GGGAGCGAAGGGGACUCGGCCGCCAUGUUAGGGGUGCCAGGACGUUUCCGCGGAGCCGUCUGAGGUUUUAGGGAACGCGGGAGCCGAGUGGUGGUGCAGAGGGGACGAGUCUGUCUACACUAUGAAAAGAUGGGAAAUUUCUUUCUUCCUGAGAGUGUCCGAAAGGCUAUGCCGAUGUAUUUGUGCUGUUUUUCUCCUUUCUUUUUGUGUAUUAUCCUGAAAAACAAAAUUAACUGACACUUUGGGUCAUUAGGGGUAUGCACUUCACCUGUUAGGAGUUAAAAUUAUAGCUUUUAAUGGAUUAUCCUAUCAAGGAAAGACUAGGCAGAGUGAUUAUAAACGACAAAAACAUGGUCAAAACGUCUCAAAUGUAUGCAGUUGAUAACUACAAAAACAGUUUUAUAAAGAAUGAUCUUAUAUAUGUCAUGUUUCUGGGAACAAGUCAGAUGAGUGGCUUUGUUUCAUUUUUAAACAAAGGUAGUAUGUAUUGGUCUCACUUAUCCAUGGAUACAACAAUGGGAAGAGCUUAUGAAAUUAUUUGUUAUUCAGAAAUACCUUCUUUGCAAGUAAUGUUGGAAAAGGGUCAAGUGUCUGGAUCACCUGUAGAACUCUAGAAAUGUGUAGCUGUUGCCCACCAUUCAUCCAGCUGAAUUAUUGUCCAUGGUUGUAACCAGCUGUUGUGUAUUUUUAAAACACUAGAGGAUAAAGACAAGACAGAGAACAAGCAUAUGAAAAUUUUAAAGCAGCACCAAGAGUCAAACACUCAAUAAGUCUUCCUUCAGAGGAGGGAGGUCCUCUUGGAGAUGGUAUAUGAAGACUGACUUUAGUGUGUUGGACAGUAAUAUUAGUGGCCUUUCUGGACUCCUGUUGCUUCAGUUAAAUCUAUCUUGAAUGGCUUGCUAAUUUUUUACAGAAAUUCGUAACAUUCUAAGCCUCAGUGGUAAUAGCAGCCUCAUGGGGUUGAUGGUGAGGAUUAAACAAAGUUAUGUAAAGCAUUUAGCAGAGGACUUUGGAACAUGAAAGUUUCUUGUGGAUUUUUUUUUAAGUUUUUAAAAAGUAGUCUCAAAGUACUUAAGACCCAAGGACAGGGAUUACCUCAGCUGAACUCUGAACAAUUUGUUGAUAAGUCAAACUUGUAUGACCAAAUUCUUAGGAAAAUACAGUUCCGGUUUUUCCUUUCAUAAAGUGAUGAUAUAGGGCAACAGUUUUUUUCAGCCCAUACCACGUAAGGAAUGUAAAAUUCUUGCUAUUGAGAUCAUGGUAGUGUCUCGAGUGGCUGAAGUCAAAAAAAUUACAUUACAAUAAAAUUUUGUUUGUGUUCUUGUAUAGUUUGAAAAAUCCCGACAGUUGAUUAUGAAAAUUAGGCCCUGUCUUUACUGAGAAUUGGUGUAGUUAAUUCUGUAAAAGAUGAUGUCCUAAAUUAUGAAAAAUGUUAGAAUUGUUUCAUGCCUUCAAAGUUCUAAAAUGCUUUUAUAUUUUAAGCUAUGAAAUUUGAGAGAACAGCCGUCAGUUAUGUUGUCCACCUGUCUGUGUCUCUUCCAAAAUAGAAUCAAUUUUCUUAGCAUUCUCAGAAAUAAAAUGCCGGCAACCCAAAAGUGAUGUAAACCCAGCAGUUACAGUAAGAAUUAUUUUAAACUGAUCACAGAAUUGAGACAAACUUAAGGGGGAAAUGAAAAACAUUUUACCAAAAGUUAUCUUUAUAUUAUAAUUAUAUUAUAGCUUUAUAUUGAGUUAAAUGUUUUUGACAGCGUGUAUUUUUAAAGUAGACACAGAUGAGCCUGUCAUACAGGGUUCAGCAGUUGGAGUUUCUCCAGAGAAGAUCUUUAACUCAUUCAGCAAACUUUAAUGUUUCAUAUUUUAAGCAUUUUACUUUAACAACGUACAGGAAACUAAAACAUAUGUUUUCUAGUCUUGUUUAGUUGACCCACUGUUGUGUUUGUAACAAGUUGGCAUAAUUUUACCUGCUGGGUUUAAUAUGCCACAAAAGGUAUAUGUAGUAAAUAUAGAUAGCCCAAUGUCAAGAUGCAAAAUUAAGAUGCUCAUAGCUAAUGAUUAACCAGAAAAAUGAGCCCUCUAUCUUAUGUUUUUUAUUUCUCAGUUUUUAAUACGUUUGGAUAAUUAAAGUGGCACUAGAAAAACAUUUCUUUGCAAGAAUAUGAAGAUGAACUUAAUCCAAUAUAAAUAUGUUCAUGAAUAUAGCCACUUAAGGAAAGUGCAGAGAUAUACAAUUGUAAGCAAUUAGUGUACAGUAAGUUGGUACGUAUUCAUAAUUCUUAAUUUGGUAUGGACUACUUGAUGGUGCUGUAUGUUUUUGAACUUGCUGUAAAGAUUAGUCAGUCCUGAGUGAGUUCUGUCUUAAAACAUUUUAGGAAAUGUUCGUCAGAGUCACCGUCUCUACACCUAAGUCAUGAUUUGAUGAAUUUGGCACAUAGGUGCUUGUAAAUGGAACAGCUUGGGGACUUUUUGAGCUACUCCACCACCAUAAGAUAAAGUUCAGUAACCAUAACCCUUGGCAUAACCUAAUUGCUAAUUUUUUUCACCUUUGAGCCAAAAUAAAACUCAGCUUUCCUCCUUGCUUACCUUGCACUACCAGACUUUUAGUCAUUAAUGUAGUAUUAAGUGGGAUCUUUCAUAGUUUUUUGGCAGUUGUCCCCAUUGAACUGGACAGCAUUUAUGCUGUUGGCUCAGUGUUAGCAUAUGUAGAGCCAUUUUCUUGUGAACGUUUCAUAAUAUUUUAUAUACAAGACAGAAAAAUUAUAGAAAAGCUUAUUUUUUGAACAUGCUAAAAUAAAGCAAUUGCCUAAGUUGUGAUGUACAAAAGUAUACAAUUGCAAAUAACGUUAACAUAGUAGAGUACUUCAUUACAAUUGCUAAGCUGCAACUAAAUAAUGUCUUACAUAAGUGUGAUAUAAAUAACCUUUACCAGUCCUAUGCUAUUUCAGUGGAAUACUUUCCUAAUCAUAGGAUGGUGCAGCAUUUACUCUGUCCCCAAAAUUGAGAAUGUAGUGAAAAUUAAGUGCUUUUUUUGUUUGUUUCUUGUAUUUCAAGUCGGCAGAUGUUUAUUGAGCAUCUACUAUGUACGAGAAAUACACUUUUCUAGUACUGCAGUGGAUUAAAACAAAAAUCUGAAAUACAGUUCCUUCCACCAAAAACUCCAUCAAAAAACAUAAGAUACCUCUGAAGUAAUCAACAGUUCUAUAUGUGUUUGUGUAAUACCCUUUGGGGAAUUUAGCAACAUUUACUACAACACCUAAGCUUAUCUAUCAGAGUGAUCUGUUAGCAAGCAUUCUAAACAGAACGAUCUGAAAUGUUAAAGUAACAACACAAAACUGACAAAUAUUAGUCUAUUAACAAAGAUUUGAUGAAUGAAUAAAGAAAUCCAUAUGAACUACUAAAAGGAAGGCUUCAAAGGUGCUUCAGAGGAGAUGGAUUUUCUUCUUGGCUAAAUAAAACAUGAUAGAAAUGCUGGUCCUUUUCUGGGGAUAGGCUUACUAAAAAGCCUAUACUUGGAAUUUAUGACAUUUUUCUUUGAGCUUGGGAUAUUCAAGUUGCAAAGGUUGGAGAGUUCUGACGCAAAGCCUGAGGACAGCUAGGUGGAUUGGUUGAAAUCUGGUCCUUGAGAUGAAGGGACAGAAAUGUGCUGUUCUGGGCCCAGCAUGGGUAACACAUCUGUAGGAAGAGAAUUGGCCUGGAAGGCAAGAAACCUUGGUUGAAAAGUUGAUUUUGAUACUAACCUGCAGUCUCAGUUUUUUAAAGGUCAUUUGAAAUCUAAGUACAUGAAGUACUGUUUUUGAUGAUGAACUUUACAUUUAUUUAUUUUACAUUUGGCAAGCUCAAUGGAAGAAUCUCCAUUUCACCUCUGCUUUGUUUACUCUUUGUAUGUUUAAUAUCGGAUAUUAUGCCUCUUGAGUUUCAGUCCCAUGACUAUUCUGUUUUCAGUAUUCAUGUUUUUGUCUUUCUAAAAUUGUUUGCUUCUUUGUUUCUUACUAGUCCUGAGAUAAUUUAUGAGCAAUUAUUGUAGCAUUUCAUCUGGCAGUGUAUUUGCCUAAGAUGGGUUGCUGGAUUUUCUUGUUUUCCAGAUAAACUCUGCACUUCCGUCUUUCUCAUUCUUGGAAUCCGUUUUGCAUUUGUUGCAGUUCUGGGUUCUUGUAUGGAAAUUAUAAUAUUUUUGGAGUACUGAGAGGAAGCCAGAUUUCAGGAGUUUAAGGAGUGAGUGAAAGGAAUGGGGAAAGAAGUAGGCACUGCAUGUAGAUAAUUUUUAAGAAGUUUGGCUCCAAAAGAGCGCAAAGCUGCAACAUGACUGGGUCAUAAACCAGUAAACUGCCUUUGACCACCAGAUGUUAUUGUUACCAGUAGGUAAUACGCUCUUUUCUUCUGCCUGGCACAUACGCAGUUAGGCAUGCAGCAAUUGUUUGAUGGAUAAAUAAGUUGUUAAAUUAUAACACUGAUGGAUUGCUUAAUCCUUUAAGUAAUAAUUGACUUACAUCACCUCUUAUGACCUGAUUCUUUUGUGACAGAUUUUAGCUAGUGAAGUGGACUGUUACAGACAAUGAAGGAAGUAGAACAUUGUUUAUGAAACCCUAGAUGGCCUGGACAGGAGACUAAAUUGGAAUCCUUAAUUCCCAGUACAGAGAGGGCCUUGAUAUUUAAGAAUAAACAUAUUAAUAGCUGAGCUUUAUAUCAUGUGUUUAAUGUCAUGACCAUAAAGCCAUUACUGUAACACUUAAGUUUAUCUUCUAAAGGAAGCCUGUGAAAUGUUUCCAGAAUGACUUGGUUUUUAGUGAUAUUAGUUAUUGUUUUCCUUCGGGACCUGAUUCUUUGUAGAUUCUAAGAUGAUGCAGUUUCGUCAAAGGCUGUUCCAUCCUCAGUUUCUUUAAAAAUAAAAAAAUACUCUGCAAUUAGGUAAAACAUUUUUAGAUAGACUACCUCCAUCUGGUCUCCUUUCCUGUCACCCAGGUUUUUCAUCAACCACAGCUCUAUGAAAGGACAUUGAAGGGUCUCCUGUUACACACAAUAUACUAAUGCUCAUUAUAGAACAUUAAAAUAAGAUGACAGCUUCCAUUAUCAGCCUACACAAAAAUCUUUCCCUACCUUCUGUCCUCUUAUUUCCCACUUAGUUUGUGUACUACUAACUAUAUUGAGGUAACAUGACCACUAAGUUUGAAGAUUCUUUGAGACCAGGAGCUAUACUGUAUUUAUUUUCACAUUUCCUUCUGUGCUUAAAACAGGACUUCUGUUUCUUUAGUAAAUAUUCAUUGAGUAUCCACUAGGUGUCAGAUAUUAUACUAGGUAGAUUCUGGGGACACCAAGGUAACUAAACAGGGAACAUGCCAUUCGGAGUCUAACAGUCUUGUGGGGGAGAAGUGGAAAAAUAGAUCUGUAAGUCAGAAAAGCUGCAGUGUAAUAUUAUAGUGGAAUAGAUGAUUUCCUGGUUUAAGAGUUCUAAAAAAAUCAUUUCCAAAAACAUCUCCCCAAUAAGUCUGACUCAGUGACUAAAUUUCCACCACUAGAAUGUCAUUAUAAGACAUUGCACUGUGGUUGCCUCUGGGCAGGAAAACUAAAGGAUAUUAAUGGGCUGUGAAAUCACUUUUUUAUUCCCCUUUUAAAAUUACUUUUAAUUUUUAGAUUUACAUAGUACAAUUCACUAUUUUUGAUGUAUAAUUCUACAGAUUUUGGCAAAUGCACAGUCAUGUAAUCACCACAGUCAAGAUAUAGAACAGUUCAA